GCGGCCGCGCCCCCUGCCCCGGUGGCCAUUCCCUCCACGGCGGCCGGCCCCGCCGCGCCGGAAGCGACUGUUCUCUUCGCGCAUCACGCCACGGAGGGCGAACGCCUGCUACCUGCAACCUCCGCUCCGCAACCUGCCUCUGCAACGUCUUUGAAGUAAAUAAUAAAGGGCCAGGAGACCUUGUGCUCCUUUCCUGAUAAGGCCUUUAUUAAAAGAUAGCCUAAGGGGGCAGGGGUACGGCGUUCGCGAGGCCGACGCUACUCCCAGCUUCGCUCUGCCCCCGCCGCCUUUGGAAACCAGCCUCCCUGUGCUGCAGCCGGCAAUCGAUCCAUCUGUGGCAAUGCCUCGCCCCCAUCCCCGCUGAUUCUACCGGGUCACCAGGUGCUGCGAACAGCGACAGCAGCGAGCACCAACAGCCUGGCUCCUCGCAGGGGUGUGCACCCGUGGCUGAGCGCCAGCCUGAUCAUGCUGUGGAAUCUGAAGGACUUUCUUCAGUUCUCUGUUUCAGGAUUGAGAAGGACUUUUAAGGAUGUCAAGAUCAACAUCUCCAGUCAAUGGACACCUUCUCCUGACACUCAGCUGUUUGGACUUUGAAUCUUGAGCAUUGUUUUCAUUGUUAUUUGGGUUUUUAUAUUGUAAGUUUUGUUUUAGAGAUUUGAUAGAAGUAGGUGUUUGGCAGGUAAAGGAUCUCUUUGAACAUUCCACAUCGGCAUCUGAUCUGGCUUCUGACUGAUAACUAGCAAAUUGAUAAGGGAACCUCUUGAGAUGUGUUUGCUCUCUCUUUUGCAAGGGCCCUGCAGAAGAAUUGCAAAUGCAGUUUUUAUUUUUUUUUAAUUUAUUUAUACAGAAAAGGGUGAUAGUGGCAAGCACAUUUCUCUCUCUCUCUCAGGAUUUUUCAUAGAGGUGCACAGAGAUAGAGAAAACAAUUUCUAUAUCUGCUCCUUGUUUUUCCUAUGUGGAAUGUGUUUGGAGAAUUGUUCACCUGGGGUGAUUUCUUGAUUGGAUUCUGGUGAGGAUUGUUUGAGCCUGAUGGCCAAUCCAAUCCAUCUGUGUCUGGACUGUCGCGAACAGGGUCACGAGUAGUUAGUGAGUUAGAUAUGGUAGUUAGAAAAGUAGGUAUGUAGUUUUAGUAACUUCCUUUUUAUAGUGUAAUAAAGUAUUAUAGUUUAGGCAUAAUAAAGAAAUCAUGAAGCAUUCUGAAAUGGAGUCGGACAUCAUU